UUUCGAAGACAAUCACAUCUUUCACCUAGAAUGCCCAGUGCGCAGCCUGCGCUAGCGAACAGGUGAUUGCGUGAAUGAGUAGCGUAUAGUAGCGUGGAUCGCUGGGAUACGCCAUGCUAUGCUAACCAGAAUAGGGGAUGGAGUCGCGAAGACAGGUUGAGCGUCAGAGAUGUGGCUAUCACAAGAAAUGGAGACCUGACGGUGUCGUGUUCCCAAACAUUUGUGCACAGAACCACGUCUUCCCUAGAUAACUUCGCAGCAACAGCACCCUCAGAUGUCCGGGAAAGUAUGGAUAAUUUUAAUUGUUGAAAAGCAUACACUUUUCAAUGCAUUCAACCAACUAGAAAAGUAAAUGAGUUGUCAUACAUUGAAGUAGAAUGGAAAGUUGAAGAAAAAUUAUGUCUUAGAAAACAUAAUAUCAACUUUACUAGAAAUGGUUUGGGAUUAUUCAUCCUCAGUUUUUGUAAAGCUCAGUUCUUUAUGUAUUGAUGACCAGGGUCUUUAUGUCAUGAUGUCUCCAAGUCUCGAAGUUCUGACGUCUUGGUGUCUUGAGGUCCUGGUCUAUUUAUAUUCUAAAUCUUGAUGUCUUGUUGUCCUUGUGAUUUGAUGUCUUGAUGUCCUGAUCGUCUUGAUGUCUUGAUCGUCUUGAUGUCUUGAUGUCUUGACGUCCUAGUGUCCUGAUGUCCUGAUAUCCUGAUGUCUUGAUGUCAUGAUGUCUUGGUGUCUUGAUAUCUCGAUGUCCUGAUGUCUUGGUAUCCUGAUGUUUGGAUGUCUUUAUGUCUGGAUAGCCCGAUGUCUGGGGAAAUUGGGUGAUGAGAUCGGUUGGAUGAGACUGGUUGGAGUUCUUCCUCCUUAGUCACUUCCUUCCUCUGACUUUUUCCCCUGAUGU